UUGCAUCUUGAUUUAAUUUUGAACGAGUGGCGGACGGGUGAGUAACACGUGGGUAACCCGCCCUUAAGUGGGGGAUAACAUUUGGAAACAGAUGCUAAUACCGCAUAAAUCCGGGAACCGCAUGGUUCUUGGCUGAAAGAUGGCGUAAGCUAUCGCUUUUGGAUGGACCCGCGGCGUAUUAGCUAGUUGGUGAGGUAACGGCUCACCAAGGCAAUGAUACGUAGCCGAACUGAGAGGUUGAUCGGCCACAUUGGGACUGAGACACGGCCCAAACUCCUACGGGAGGCAGCAGUAGGGAAUCUUCCACAAUGGACGCAAGUCUGAUGGAGCAACGCCGCGUGAGUGAAGAAGGCUUUCGGGUCGUAAAACUCUGUUGUUGGAGAAGAAUGGUCGGCAGAGUAACUGUUGUCGGCGUGACGGUAUCCAACCAGAAAGCCACGGCUAACUACGUGCCAGCAGCCGCGGUAAUACGUAGGUGGCAAGCGUUAUCCGGAUUUAUUGGGCGUAAAGCGAGCGCAGGCGGUUUUUUAAGUCUGAUGUGAAAGCCCUCGGCUUAACCGAGGAAGUGCAUCGGAAACUGGGAAACUUGAGUGCAGAAGAGGACAGUGGAACUCCAUGUGUAGCGGUGAAAUGCGUAGACAUAUGGAAGAACACCAGUGGCGAAGGCGGCUGUCUGGUCUGUAACUGACGCUGAGGCUCGAAAGCAUGGGUAGCGAACAGGAUUAGAUACCCUGGUAGUCCAUGCCGUAAACGAUGAAUGCUAGGUGUUGGAGGGUUUCCGCCCUUCA
rnacentral:rRNA from 1 species